AACCUUAUGGACCUGCGGGCGUAUACCUGCGGAAGGAUCAUUACAGAGUUGCAAAACUCCCCAAACCAUUGUGAACCUUACCUUCAAACGUUGCUUCGGCGGGCGGGCCACAGCGCCCCCCGGGCCCCCCCAGCGGGGGCGCCCGCCGGAGGAUACCCAAACUCUUGAUACUUUAUGGCCUCUCUGAGUCUUCUGUACUGAAUAAGUCAAAACUUUCAACAAUGGAUCUCAGAUCGGAAG
rnacentral:misc_RNA from 1 species